rnacentral:rRNA from 1 species
CUAAGCCAUGCGAGUCAUUGUAGCAAUACAAGGCAUACGGCUCAGUAACGCGUAGUCAACCUACCCUAUGGACGGAAAUAACCUCGGGAAACUGAGAAUAAUAUCCGAUAGAACAUUAUGCCUGGAAUGGUUUAUGUUCCAAAUGAUUUAUCGCCGUAGGAUGGGACUGCGGCCUAUCAGUUUGUUGGUGAGGUAAUGGCCCACCAAGACUAUUACAGGUACGGGCUCUGAGAGGAGUAGCCCGGAGAUGGGUACUGAGACACGGACCCAGGCCCUAUGGGGCGCAGCAGGCGAGAAAACUUUGCAAUGUGCGAAAGCACGACAAGGUUAAUCCGAGUGAUUUCUGCUAAAGAAAUCUUUUGUUAGUCCUAGAAACACUAACGAAUAAGGGGUGGGCAAGUUCUGGUGUCAGCCGCCGCGGUAAAACCAGCACCUCAAGUGGUCAGGAUGAUUAUUGGGCCUGAAGCAUCCGUAGCCGGCUCUGUAAGUCCUCGGUUAAAUCUGUACGCUUAACGUACAGGCUGCCGAGAAUACUGCAUAGCUAGGGAGUGGGAGAGGUAGACGGUACUCGGUAGGAAGGGGUAAAAUCCUUUGAUCUAUUGAUGACCACCUGUGGCGAAGGCGGUCUACCAGAACACGUCCGACGGUGAGGGAUGAAAGCUGGGGGAGCAAACCGGAUUAGAUACCCGGGUAGUCCCAGCUGUAAACUAUGCAAACUCAGUGAUGCAUUGGCUUGUGGCUAAUGCAGUGCUGCAGGGAAGCCGUUAAGUUUGCCGCCUGGGAAGUACGUACGCAAGUAUGAAACUUAAAGGAAUUGGCGGGGGAGCACCACAAGGGGUGAAGCCUGCGGUUCAAUUGGAUUCAACGCCGGGAA